GUUUGCAGAUGAUAAGGUUUCGCUAAAUAACGUUCACCGCUGCUGGCAGCCGGAGACAGUGGAUAGCGGUUCGAGAAUUUCUUUGCAGUUUUAGCGGAGCGCAAGCUGAUUUGGCAGGGAUUGUUUGAUCCGCUUGUCUACAGCAUCCCCCGCAUCCUCCCACUCGGAAAGCCUACCGAUGUUCCGAAGGCUCAACUGCUGUUUCGAUAAAUUCCCAUCACACCACAUUUCGAAUCAGAUGUAAUCAUUUCCAUUCUACAUCGAGGAUUUUGCCGAAAAUUGCUACCCGGAAAAUUCGCUGUGCUCGUUACCUGGAGGCUGUGUGAUGCAGGAAUUUCAAUCCACAUAUUAAGCGCGCGCUAACAUUCGCCUGUGAACAUCAUUCAUCUUCCCAGUACCGUGAAUGGUAUUAACAACAUGAAAUAUGAGCCAC